UUACAGGUGUUUUUAUAUUGCGCAAUCUUACCAACUUUUAAAAAAAUGGGUAGAGAGUGUAUCUUUAUAUGACCGUGUGAUUACGUAUGUGAAUGAAGCUACAUUAAAAUUAAAAGCUUGCAAUAAUCCGUUUCUCAAUGUCCUGGUUACUAAAAUAGAAGAACUAUCCGAACUUGCGCAAGGUCAUAAAUAUAAUGCUCAUGCCCUCAGUAUAUUGGAAUCUAACGAAGUUGCAGCAGAUGUAGGAAAGUUGGUUUUAUCUGAUCAGGUGCUGGCGGAACGUUUGGAUGUUUAUCAAGAGUACCAAAAUGCUACAAAGAAAACAAAUCUCAUUCGUUUCCCACCUGAGCCGCAGCCAACGCCGUGCAAGCCAUUGUUUUUCGACCUAGCUUUGAAUUAUAUUGAUUUGCCGAAUCUUGAUCAUAGAUUAGAGAAGAAACCUGAAGGAGUUUUCAGUGCAUUGCGAAGGGGGUUCGGUUUUUGGGGGAGUUAAUGAAAUAAAUAUUAGUAAAUAUAAA
rnacentral:lncRNA from 1 species